AACGGGUGAGUAACGCGUAGGUAACCUGCCUUGUAGCGGGGGAUAACUAUUGGAAACGAUAGCUAAUACCGCAUAACAAUGGAUGACACAUGUCAUUUAUUUGAAAGGGGCAAUUGCUCCACUACAAGAUGGACCUGCGUUGUAUUAGCUAGUAGGUGAGGUAAUGGCUCACCUAGGCGACGAUACAUAGCCGACCUGAGAGGGUGAUCAGCCACACUGGGACUGAGACACGGCCCAGACUCCGUACGGGAGGCAGCAGGUGGGGAAUCUUGGACAAGUGGGGGAAACCCUGAUCCAGCCAUGCCGCGUGAUCGAUGAAGGCCUUAGGGUUGUAAAGAUCUUU
rnacentral:rRNA from 1 species